rnacentral:rRNA from 1 species
GACGAACGCUGGCGGCGUGCUUAACACAUGCAAGUCGAACGGAAAGGCCCUGCUUUUGUGGGGUGCUCGAGUGGCGAACGGGUGAGUAACACGUGAGUAACCUGCCCUUGACUUUGGGAUAACUUCAGGAAACUGGGGCUAAUACCGGAUAGGAGCUCCUGCUGCAUGGUGGGGGUUGGAAAGUUUCGGCGGUUGGGGAUGGACUCGCGGCUUAUCAGCUUGUUGGUGUGGUAGUGGCUUACCAAGGCUUUGACGGGUAGCCGGCCUGAGAGGGUUACCGGCCACAUUGGGACUGAGAUACGGCCCAGACUCCUACGGGAGGCAGCAGGGGGGAAUAUUGCACAAUGGGCGGAAGCCUGAUGCAGAAACGCCGCGUGCGGGAUGACGGCCUUCGGGUUGUAAACCGCUUUCGCCUGUGACGAAGCGUGAGUGACGGUAAUGGGUAAAGAAGCACCGGCUAACUACGUG